rnacentral:rRNA from 1 species
GACGAACGCUGGCGGCGUGCUUAACACAUGCAAGUCGAACGAUGAACCCGGAGCUUGCUCCGGUGGAUUAGUGGCGAACGGGUGAGUAACACGUGAGUAACCUGCCAUUGACUCUGGGAUAACUGCGGGAAACUGUAGCUAAUACCGGAUACGACCCUCGGCGGCAUCGCCAGGGGGUGGAAAGAAUUUCGGUCAAGGAUGGACUCGCGGCCUAUCAGCUAGUUGGUGAGGUAACGGCUCACCAAGGCGACGACGGGUAGCCGGCCUGAGAGGGGGACGGGCCACACUGGGACUGAGGCCCGGGCCAGGCUCCUUCGGGAGGGAGCAGUGGGGUAUAUUGCACAAUGGGCGCAAGCCUGAUGCAGCAACGCCGCGUGGGGAAUGACGGGCUUCGGGUUGUAAACCUCUUUUAGUAGGGAAGAAGCGAAAGUGACGGUACCUGCAGAAAAAGCACCGGCUAACUACGUGCCAGCAGCCGCGGUAA